rnacentral:lncRNA from 1 species
UUGUAUAGUUCAGAAUUACAUCAAGGGAGAUAACUGUACAGCCUCCUAGCUUUCCUUGGGUCUUGCACAAAACACCAUGGUGAGAAUGAUCAUGAUUUUUCCAGGCCUUUCCCCCUAGGAAAGCCCAUUCAAGUGCAGAAGUAUGAGCUUCCCAAGAAGAGAUUCUUGUGGGUGACUGAUAGAAUCAGUUCUCUUCUCCUUGCUGACCUGCCACAGUGUCUGCCCUGAGCCUUCUGAUGUCUCCAUGGAGAAAUGGGUGAGCCCAACUUUAUGGUAGUUCAUCUAAAAUAUGUGUUUCUAAAUAUAUUUAGUGUGUGGUGAGACUUCCAAUACACCAUGGCCACCAGCAGCAGCCUUGUGUACCAUACUUUCUCAAGCCAUGAAAGAUGCUUUCUCUUUCUGAGUAGGACCAAUACUUUGUAGCAUUUAAC